rnacentral:rRNA from 1 species
UACGGGGGGAGCAAGCGUUGUUCGGAUUUACUGGGCGUAAAGGGCGCGUAGGCGGCCAGCACAAGUCAGUUGUGAAAUCUCCGAGCUUAACUCGGAAGGGUCAACUGAUACUGUGCGGCUAGAGUGCGGAAGGGGCAACUGGAAUUCUUGGUGUAGCGGUGAAAUGCGUAGAUAUCAAGAGGAACACCUGCGGCGAAGGCGGGUUGCUGGGCCGACACUGACGCUGAGGCGCGAAAGCCAGGGGAGCGAACGGG